CAAAAUACCCCUGUGUGGCAAAAAUUUUAUUUUGAUUGUUUUUGAUCUAAAAUAGUAUAUAUUCUCUAAAAACUCGAUAUUUAACAAUGAUUGCUCACAGGAAAGGAAAGAAACUGAUAUGUAAGCCUUGCGGGGUUCCGGUUGGCAUUCCGGAUAAUGAGUGUCAAUCGGGACGUCGCGACGAUUGUCAUGGGCUCGAGGGGAGUACCGGGUCGUGACAUAUGGUGAGUUAAAGCAAGACAACAAAUGGGUAAAUGCUUGAAACCUUGAGAUCAUGGGUGGAAAGAAAAGUAAGAUGGAUAUUGAUUACUUGUGCUUGUGGUAGCAAUGGUGAUCGAAGAUGUGAUGAAUUUGUGAGAUAUAUGUGGAAUUCAUGAUAAAAACUAGAAGGCAAGCAUGCAAUGUGAGUAUAUUAUGUUAUAUUGGAUUUGGUUGGUUAAAAGUUCAUAGAUUGCAUGUUAGAUUAUUGUGAAUGAUGAGGAUAAAAGAUAUGAAAUUUGAUUAAGAUUUGUUUAUUAAGGUGCUGAUCUUAUAUGUGUGCAAUUAAGUAUAUUGAGUUUAAUUUGUUACUAGGAAAUGUAUAAGUGAGGAAAGUUUACUAUGGUGGAGUACUAGAGGAGUUAACAGGCGAUCGGCGAGUAAGAUUAGCUAGAGACGCACCUGAACCAAUAGCGAUAUAGUGUCCUGCUAUUGUGAGGUGAGUAGGGGGUGUCUAUUUCAAAAAGGUUAAAUAGUAUCUAGAAUGUCAUUUCGUAUACUACUAUUAUGUGAAAGAUUUAUAACAUUAAUUGUGGAAAGCAUGAGUUGGUAGAAAUCCUAAGCGGUUGUGGAUGCCAUGACUUUUGAAAUUUCUUUCGAACAUAUAUAUAAGCUAUAUAUGUAAAGGGUUUUAAAAAUCAAGAAACAAGCUCUUUAACACGGUUUAUGUCAAAAUGUGCCUUAUUGUUUGUGUGAUGUACAUUCAUGAAUAAAUUACAUAUUCACCAUGCUAUUUUGAUAUUUAAACCUCAUGCAAAGGUUUUAUAAUAUAAAGUCUUACAAAAAGGGGUUUUAUCAUGUUACCAUGAUUGGCAUUUUGGAAAUGGUUUUGAAAUAAGCUUUUGAGAACCCAACUUGAUUUUUAAAUGAUUUUAUCAAAUUGGAAGAUUCGAGAGUAGGUCGAAUGUCACAUUGGGAUAAUGUGAUCCUUGUGCACAAGUGAGCUCUAGCUAGAGAACCUUUGGGCCACCGACGGGCUAUUAGAUGUGGUUAGGCCACGGUCUGUGAUAUAUAUACGUGGCUAAGCCACCAAUUGAUAUACGUGAUUAUGACCACAUGAUUUCUUCGAUGUCGGCCAACAUCGUCGAGAUUGCCAUGGCUAUGGAAAUCCGGUGGAAGGGGGCCUCCCGGAUGUUAUUACGUGGAAGCAGGUCCACGAGUUCUUUAUUUCUAUCACCUACUCAAGAGUGAUAUCUCUUUGGGUUUUCAAAUACGUAUUCUUUCGCAUGGUGAGAAUUACAUGUUUUUCCACAGCUCUCUUAUUUAUACGAUGGAAUUGUGUUUAAUAUCUUGAGGAUGAGAUCGUUUAUAAACUUCUGUAUAAGCAUCGAUAUUGCUUGAUUUUACAGGAGCGCGUGUGCUUAUGUUAACCUGAUUUUAAGUAAAGGGCAACAAAUGAUUUCAACGAUAGAAGUCUUUUACUUGCACUGGUUUUUUUUUAUAUUACUUGAAGUGAUUAUUUCGCAACACAACUUUUGGGUUUACAUAUAAGGCAUAAAUGCUUCAUUUGAUUUUAAAUUAUUUAUAUAAAUUUGUAUGGUUUUAAUGUUCAAAUUUUCUAUCCUUGGCUUGUUUCCCAUCUACGCCCUGCUCACGAAGCAGAUGAUCAUUGAGUUUGUGAGACUCACCCCUUUAUCUUCCCUUUUUGCAGAUAAGUGAUCAGUUCAAGUGUAUCGCCCCAACAUUUUGACUCGCUGUGACGUAGGUAAUGGCAUCUCUUAGACUUCUACUCCGCGUCGCUCCUCUGCAUAGG
rnacentral:lncRNA from 1 species